rnacentral:rRNA from 1 species
CAUAACUUUAAGUAAUUUUUUAAAGCUUUUUCUGCCCCAUGAUACGUUUAAUGGCCGCAGUACUUUGACUGUGCAAAGGUAGCAUAAUCAAUUGGCUUAUAAUUGAAGUCUAGGAUGAAUGAAUAUAUGGAUAGUAGCUGUCUUUUUUAUAGUACUUAAAAUUACUUAUGAGGUGAAAAUUCCUUAAUACAUAAAAUAGACGAGAAGACCCUAGAAAUUUGUAGUUCAAUUUUUAGAUUUUGUUGGGGCGACAAUGUAACAAAUAAACUUACAGUGUACGCGUAAUUAUUUUGGGUAGAUUAAAUUACUCUAGGGAUAACAGCAUAAUUUUUAAAAAGUUUGUGACCUCGAUGUUGGACUAGGGAGGGUUGUUUUUUAGAAGAUAACAAUCAUGGUUCUGUUCGAACUCUAAACCCUAC